CCUACGGGAGGCAGCAGUGAGGAAUAUUGGUCAAUGGGCGUAAGCCUGAACCAGCCAAGUCGAGUGAGGGAUGAAGGUUCUAUGGAUCGUAAACCUCUGUUAUAAGGGAAUAAAGUGUGGGACGUGUCCUAUUUUGUAUGUACCUUAUGAAUAAGGAUCGGCUAACACCGUGCACGCAGCCGCGGUAAUACGGAGGAUCCGAGCUUUAUCCGGAUUUAUUGGGUUUAAAGGUUGCGUAGGCGGCCUUUUAAGUCAGCGGUGAAAUUCUGUGGCUCAACCAUAGAAUUGCCGUUGAAACUGGGGGGCUGGAGGAUGUUUGAGGCAGGCGGAAUGCGUGGUGUAGCGGUGAAAUGCUUAGAUAUCACGCAGAACCCCGAUUGCGAAGGCAGCCUGCCAAGCCAUGACUGACGCUGAUGCACGAAAGCGUGGGGAUCAAACAGGAUUAGAUACCCUUGUAGUC
rnacentral:rRNA from 1 species